UUAUGCAAAAUAAAAAUAUAAUAAAAUCAAUUAAAGAAUGUAUAGUUGACACCGAAUAAGAAGAUCCUGUUUCGUGGCUUAUCAUAUUCCAUUAGUGCUUUCUCACUCGUUUAAAUUCGUUUGUUUGUCAAGUAUCUUCUUGUUUGGUGUCAGGUUCAGUAAUAAUAAUAUUACAAAAGAUGGAGUAUACACAAAAACACAAAAUACUUUUACAAACAUUUGUGCACGAAGGUGUUCUUGAUGAGAAUAAUGCAAAAGAAUUAGUUAUUAAAUUAUUUGACGUUGAUAACGUGCCACUUAUCAUAAAUCAGAUAAAUGAGCAACUACAGCCCUUGGAUAUGUUAAUCAAAAGAUGUGAGUGCGAAAUUACAGGUGAAUUGUUUUGGAUUUUUGCAAAUACAGAGCUCGACGAAGUAACCAGAUAUCAAGAUGAAUUUUCAGAAAUGCAAUUAGCUUUGUUAAGAAACGUAUUUUCUGAAAUCAUAACAUCGAACGAUGGGUCUGUAAAAAGUAUGUUUUGCCUUAAUUUAUGUUCAUUAGAGGAUGUUAAGAUGUCGAAAGCAGAAGCUGAAGAAUUUUUAAAUGACAUGGUUGAUAGAAAAUGGUUAGCUUAUAAGAAUGGUAAUUAUUAUAUGGGUGUAAGGAGUAUAACAGAAUUAAUGCCAUAUUUUAGAGUUACUUAUAAAAGCAAUUUAAGUACCUGCUGUCUUUGUAAACAAGCUAUUUUUCAUGGUGAGAGAUGUAACAAUUGUCAGGCUAUGUUACAUUUACACUGUUUAAAGCGAUAUGCUACAGUUCAUAAUCCUGUUACUUGUCCCACUUGCAAAUCAGCAUUUCCCAAUACUACUCUGAUAUAAUUGAUAAUUUAGCAACAAUAUCGGACAAAGAUUAGAGCAUGUCAUAGAGGUUUUACCAGGCAACACUUGAAAAGCAGGAAUCAUUAAAACAUUAUCUAUCAACAAUUGUGUAAUAGCUUGUAAGAAUCUGUGAUUUACAACUAAGGUCCUUUUUGAUAUAAUACAAUUACUGAAAAGACUAUUGAUAUAUUUUUAGUAAAUAAAUAUUGUGUGAUAUAUG